AAUGUCCGCCAUCAUCCCUUGAUCACUCACACAAUUCCAAUUGGAAUACCACUGAACCCUCGAGCCCCUCGCGGGAGCGCGCCCGUGAGUGCAGGAGUGCUCAAGUGUUCCAUUUGGGAUUCGACCAUUUGCCACCGAGGACUAGUUGAUCUGGUUAGGUGGUGUCUAGUUUAGAUGGAGCCUGCGCACAGAGCUGUACUCCGAAAGCUCCGAGUUGAACUGUCCGACCAGCUACUGGUCAGCGACACCAUCGUUCCGUUUCUGUACCAGGAGGGCAUUUUAACGGAAGCGCACGUGGAGGACAUCGCGUCUGAGCGGACAAACAAACAGAAGAACUUCAAGCUGCUGGAUAUCCUGCCGAACCGCGGGCCCCGGGCUUUCGACGCCUUCCUGCAAUCUCUGGAAGACUUCGGCUGGGUACGAGACAGGCUGCUGCACGAGCUCCAGGCCAUUUCCGAACACAGAUGCGGAUCCAAAGACGUCUGUCAGCUUCCAGACUUGCUUCUCCAGAAGGUUCCUUCGGAUCGGGAGCUGUCCAGGCUGGCUUCCUGCCUUGGUUCUGACUGGGAGGCGGUUUUGAUGGAUCUAGGUCUGUCAGCGGAGGCUGUAUUUCGGUGCCGGUCUGAUCACAGUCUCAGCACGCAGGCGGCGGCGCUGGCCGGCCUGGUGCAGUGGAGGCGGUCCGAAGGCAGGAGGGCGACGGUGGAGCGGCUGAUGCAGAGUCUGCGGGCCGCCGGCGCCGAUCCGAAUGUCAUGGAGGACGCUCUGGCCCGACCUUCAUGAGACGUCAGCGGAUCGUCCUACAGGUCAAAGCAGUUCUGGUUCAAAUUUUGGUUCCUGGAGAUUUUUAAUGUUGAACCAGGACCAAGACCGGAAACCAGAAACAGGACAAGGACCAGAACUGGAACCAGGACCAGCGUGAGGAUCUGGACUCACGCGUGGAGACGUGUCUUUAUGUCUUGCUGGCGUUCUCGUAGACGACGUCAGAGGUGAUGGAUUGUUUCUUCUUCUGCCACAUCAGCAGGACGCACUGAUGGAUGAAGACAAACUGCUCCUGCACGCACACACACACACACACACACACACACAGAGCUGUGAUUUUCAGGUGUUUCUCAGACCUCCGUCUGGACCAUCGACAGGCGGUGCGACCUCAUCUCGGACACCAUCCCCAGGAUGUCGACG